ACCUUAAUUAUUUAUAUCAAAAGGACAUGUUUUUGAUAAACAGGUGAAUAUUUAUUUUGCCGAAUUACUUAAAUUAAUUUUUAAAUUUUUAUUAAACAUAAAUAUUUAUAUACUAAUUUUAUCAUUAUUAUUUUAUUUUUCUUAUUUUAAUAAAUAUUUUAAUAAAUAAUUAAUGUUUAUAUUUAAAAUUAUAUCUAAAUUAAAUUUAUUUUUAACAAAUUAAAUAAAAUUAAUAAUAUUAAUUAUAUUAAAUUUAAAUUAUUUAUUAUUUUAUUUAAUAAUUUAUUUUAAAGCUUAUCCCUUAAAAUAUUUAUAAUAUAUUUUAAAUUAUAAAUUAAAUUAUAAAUUAAUAAAUAAUUAUAUAAAUUAAAUUUAUUUCUUAAAAAACUAGAUAUAUUUAAAAACGUUUAACAUUUCAUUUCUAAUUAAUUAUUUUUAAUAAUUAUGCUACAUUAACUAAAUUAAUUAAUUAACUCUUUUAAAUUCGAGAAUAUUAUUUUAAUUAAUAUUUAUUUAAUAAACUCUGAUACCCAAG
rnacentral:rRNA from 1 species